rnacentral:rRNA from 1 species
UACAGAGGGUGCGAGCGUUAAUCGGAAUUACUGGGCGUAAAGCGCACGCAGGUGGCUGAGUCAGUCGAUUGUGAAAGCCCUGGGCUUAACCUGGGAAUUGCAGUCGAUACUACUCAGCUAGAGUAUGGGAGAGGGUAGUGGAAUUCCCGAUGUAGCGGUGAAAUGCGUAGAUAUCGGGAGGAACAUCAGUGGCGAAGGCGACUACCUGGCCCAAUACUGACACUCAGGUGCGACAGCGUGGAGAGCAAACAGGG